GGGUUGUGAGGUUAAGCGAAUAAGCGUACACGGUGGAUGCCUAGGCAAUCAGAGGCGAUGAAGGACGUGCUAAUCUGCGAAAAGCGUCGGUAAGGUGAUAUGAACCGUUAUACCCGACGAUAUCCGAAUGGGGAAACCCAGUAUCCAAUGGAUACUAUCAUUAACUGAAUCCAUAGGUUAAUGAGGCGAACCGGGAGAACUGAAACAUCUCAGUACCCCGAGGAAAAGAAAUCAACCGAGAUUCCCCUAGUAGCGGCGAGCGAACGGGGAGCAGCCCAGAGUCUUAAUCAAUAACAGUGUCAGGAGAACGGUCUGGAAAGUCCGGCAGUAAAGGGUGAUAGCCCCGUAUCUGAAGAUGCUGUUAUUGUGAACUCGACGAGUAGGGCGGGACACGUGUUAUCCUGUCUGAAUAUGGGGGGACCAUCCUCCAAGGCUAAAUACUCCUGAUUGACCGAUAGUGAACCAGUACCGUGAGGGAAAGGCGAAAAGAACCCCGGCGAGGGGAGUGAAAAAGAACCUGAAACCGUGUACGUACAAGCAGUAGGAGCCUCUUUAUGGGGUGACUGCGUACCUUUUGUAUAAUGGGUCAGCGACUUAUAUUCUGUAGCGAGGUUAACCGUAUAGGGGAGCCGUAGGGAAACCGAGUCUUAACUGGGCGAAUGAGUUGCAGGGUAUAGACCCGAAACCCGGUGAUCUAUCCAUGGGCAGGUUGAAGGUUGGGUAACACUAACUGGAGGACCGAACCGACUAAUGUUGAAAAAUUAGCGGAUGACUUGUGGAUGGGGGUGAAAGGCCAAUCAAACCGGGAGAUAGCUGGUUCUCCCCGAAAGCUAUUUAGGUAGCGCCUCGUGAACUCAUCUUCGGGGGUAGAGCACUGUUUCGACUAGGGGGUCAUCCCGACUUACCAACUCGAUGCAAACUGCGAAUACCGAAGAAUGUUAUCACGGGAGACACACGGCGGGUGCUAACGUCCGUCGUGAAGAGGGAAACAACCCAGACCGCCAGCUAAGGUCCCAAAGUCAUGGUUAAGUGGGAAACGAAGUGGGAAGGCUCAGACAGCCAGGAUGUUGGCUUAGAAGCAGCCAUCAUUUAAAGAAAGCGUAAUAGCUCACUGGUCGAGUCGGCCCGCGCGGAAGAUGUAACGGGGCUAAACCAUGCACCGAAGCUGCGGCAGCGACACAUAGUGUUGUUGGGUAGGGGAGCGUUCUGUAAGCCUGCGAAGGUGUACUGUGAGGUAUGCUGGAGGUAUCAGAAGUGCGAAUGCUGACAUAAGUAACGAUAAUGCGGGUGAAAAACCCGCACGCCGGAAGACCAAGGGUUCCUGUCCAACGUUAAUCGGGGCAGGGUGAGUCGACCCCUAAGGCGAGGCUGAAAAGCGUAGUCGAUGGGAAACGGGUUAAUAUUCCCGUACUGGUGGUAACUGCGAUGGGGGAACGGAGAAGGCUAGGUUGUCCGGGCGACGGUCGUCCCGGUUCAAGCAGGUAGGCAGAGUGAUUAGGCAAAUCCGGUCACUUAAUGCUGAGAUGUGAUGACGAACCACUAAGGUGGUGAAGCAAUUGAUGCCCCGCUUCCAGGAAAAGCCUCUAAGCUUCAGGUUACCAACAAUCGUACCCCAAACCGACACAGGUGGUCAGGUAGAGAAUACUCAGGCGCUUGAGAGAACUCGGGUGAAGGAACUAGGCAAAAUGGUGCCGUAACUUCGGGAGAAGGCACGCUGGCGGUAGGUAAAGUCCCUUGCGGACGGCGCUGAAGCCAGUCGAAGAUACCAGCUGGCUGCAACUGUUUAUUAAAAACACAGCACUGUGCAAACACGAAAGUGGACGUAUACGGUGUGACGCCUGCCCGGUGCUGGAAGGUUAAUUGAUGGGGUCAGCCGUAAGGCGAAGCUCCUGAUCGAAGCCCCAGUAAACGGCGGCCGUAACUAUAACGGUCCUAAGGUAGCGAAAUUCCUUGUCGGGUAAGUUCCGACCUGCACGAAUGGCGUAAUGAUGGCCAGGCUGUCUCCACCCGAGACUCAGUGAAAUUGAACUCGCUGUGAAGAUGCAGUGUACCCGCGGCAAGACGGAAAGACCCGUGAACCUUUACUAUAGCUUGACACUGAACAUUGAGCCUUGAUGUGUAGGAUAGGUGGGAGGCUUUGAAGUGUGGACGCCAGUCUGCAUGGAGCCAACCUUGAAAUACCACCCUUUAACGUUUGAUGUUCUAACCUAGGCCCAUAAACUGGGUCGGGGACCGUGUCUGGUGGGUAGUUUGACUGGGGCGGUCUCCUCCUAAAGAGUAACGGAGGAGCACGAAGGUUGGCUAAGCAUGGUCGGACAUCAUGCGGUUAGUGCAAAGGCAUAAGCCAGCUUGACUGCGAGAGUGACGGCUCGAGCAGGUACGAAAGUAGGUCUUAGUGAUCCGGUGGUUCUGAAUGGAAGGGCCAUCGCUCAACGGAUAAAAGGUACUCCGGGGAUAACAGGCUGAUACCGCCCAAGAGUUCAUAUCGACGGCGGUGUUUGGCACCUCGAUGUCGGCUCAUCACAUCCUGGGGCUGAAGUAGGUCCCAAGGGUAUGGCUGUUCGCCAUUUAAAGUGGUACGCGAGCUGGGUUUAGAACGUCGUGAGACAGUUCGGUCCCUAUCUGCCGUGGGCGUUGGAAGAUUGAGAGGGUUGCUCCUAGUACGAGAGGACCGGAGUGAACGCACCACUGGUGUUCGGGUUGUCAUGCCAAUGGCAUUGCCCGGUAGCUAAGUGCGGAAGAGAUAACCGCUGAAAGCAUCUAAGCGGGAAACUUGCCUCGAGAUGAGUCUUCCCUGUCGCUUUAAGCGACCUAAAGGAACGUUUAAGACUAAGACGUUGAUAGGCUGGGUGUGUAAGCGUAGCGAUACGUUGAGCUAACCAGUACUAAUGAACCGUGAGGCUUAACCUGACAACACCGAAAGUGUUUUG
rnacentral:rRNA from 1 species